UUCUAAAGGAAUAACAUAUCUAAGCUUACGUUACUCCUUGUAAUAUUAGCUAUCUGAUAGUUGAAAUCGCGUAGAAAUAGGUUCAGCAGUUUAUGAAAAUAGACGGAAUCGGCCAAUAUUAUACAUAAUCUAUAAUUAAGUCCAUAAUUACCUCGUAUCUAACAUAUACUUGGAAAUGGCGUAGCUUGGCUUAAUCAGAACGUAAGGCCUUUCAUUAUUAAAAUUGUUCCUAAAAACUACUUCAGCACAAAAUGUGUGUAAACUUUCAACCCACAGAGAGUAGAGUUGCUAAGUGCAGGUAAACAAACUAUUGAGGCGAUUCAACCUGUACUCCAACAGUAACAACAACAACAACAAAGGGGGCACGUAGUAAUAACGUUUCAUCUUAGACAGGUUAUUUCGGGGCACUGCUUCUUCGGAAGAUAUCUGUGGAAGGUGGCCUACCGAGAACCUACAGAAGUUUGCAUACAUAUAAUACAGCAUAUUCUGGCUGAAUGUCCCAGUUGGGUGGAGCAACGCGACACAAUCGGCCGAGACCUAUCUCUGCGUCAUAAAAGCCAUGACGGAAAAUGAGAAGUCCUGGAAGGCUGUGGUUUGUGAGAUUGUGAUGUUACAGAAAGAGGCGGCGGAAAGGUUGUGAGAAGUCGACAUGGACUCUCAUCCAAUCUUAUCCGCCGUAAGAGAGCAGGCGGCUUAUUUAGGGCCGUCAUUUGCCUCCUUGACGAGGACCUCCGGUGAUAGAUACGGGGAAUCUGUCAUCCACCGGAGAUAAGUCCUCGAGUUGUUAACGCUCUCAGUGCGCUUCCCGCUUUCAACAAUACCAAAGAUGGACCUGAUGUUCGUGUGCCGCUGGCUUGGUUGCGGUCGCUUAAGAAAAAAAUCCCGUGGCCCAGUCAUUAGGUGACGAGUUGGAACACCGUGGGGUUUUAGUCGGUUAAAGUCUAACAUAACUGUCUUGCCACCCCGUGACGAGAAGGUAUCCAUGGGAUCCACGUAAAAAAGGGGUUGAGAAUGAGACAAAGCAAAGCUUGACCGGGUCCGCUAGUUGAAUAUAAUAUAAAUUAUAGAUAGCAGGACCAUAAAUGAUUUGAUAGAUUAUAUAUAAAUUAUAUAAUGAUACAUAUUUUAAAAUGACUUUUUAAUUAACAGAAGUAUAUUUUUAUCGUAGUAUGAGUGGUAGUUGUCUUCAUAUAAAAGGCAAUGUAUAUCGAUCAGUCAUCAUUGUAACAAUAACCCUUCCUUGAGUCGUGCAUUUGAAAAAAUAUAGACAACAUGAAGGUAUAUCUUCUAGCCGUACUGUGUUUGAUUGGGUUUGCUAUGUCCUUCGCAACGGAUAUACCUGAGGAAUUUGAGCGUUAUCGAAGGCCGUUUUUUGAUGAGGCUACUCGCGCAGAACUGGAACACAUGAAGCAAACAUUUAUAUAUAAGCUAAAGCAAGAAUUAGUAUCUAGGCUACAGGAAACUGUGUAGAUAUAUUUCGAAGUAAAAUACAGAAAUAAAUUUUCAAUAUAAUUUUCAUUUAAUGACCA